rnacentral:rRNA from 1 species
UCGGGAAUUUUGCUCAAUGGGCGCAAGCCUGAAGCAGCAACGCCGCGUGAGGGAUGAAGGCCUUCGGGUUGUAAACCUCUUUUCUCAGGGACGAUGAUGACGGUACCUGAGGAAUAAGCCACGGCUAACUACGUGCCAGCAGCCGCGGUAAUACGUAGGUGGCAAGCGUUGUCCGGAUUUACUGGGCGUAAAGAGCGCGCAGGCGGUCGGAUCAGUCGAAUGUGAAAGCCCCCGGCUCAACUGGGGAGGGUCAUUCGAUACUGUUCGACUCGAAGGCAGGAGAGGGAAGCGGAAUUCCCGGUGUAGUGGUGAAAUGCGUAGAUAUCGGGAGGAACACCAGUGGCGAAGGCGGCUUUCUGGCCUGUUCUUGACGCUGAGGCGCGAAAGCUAGGGGAGCGAACGGG